CUUUUAUCGUUUCAUGUUGUACAGAUUGUUAGUUUACCGUAAAUAUGUCUUGAUUUGUACUCAAGAGUGAAGCAAGGCCCCACGGAACAGAGAUUGACGCAUCUGGAGCGAAGAACAGAAGCGAUGGUUGGUUACGCUACACUGCUUGACUCUCGGCAUGCUCGCAUUGGCAAAGUUCCGAAUUUGUCGCUGUGUGAUGUGCGCUUGUGUUCUCGUAAUGUGCCGUCAUAGCGCGGGGAUAUUUGCGCUGAAUGUGUUUCACUUGGUCUACAAAACUGCACGCAACGGCGUCGGAGAAGUUGUCCUGUCUUAGGUGCACGUAUGUGCUUCUUGGAUACGCGAUAGCCUGCCUUCAACGGAUGUUCAACAGUCUACGCGCGCUCGUAACUUGCUCACGAGGCUAGUUGCUGUUGCCCUGCUGAAGCUGAGAAGAGGUCUGCUGCCUGCCAAGUGCCCAUGUCUCUCAAGUUGUUGCAGUGUUGUUGCCCUCAAACCUGUGGAGACGAUUUCCUAAACAUGGCCAUGGCCCUCAAGAAAGAAGCCGAGACCAGAGGCUGCGGAUGUUCAUUCCUGUUCCGGCAAAGAUAGGCCAGCCUUAACCAGCUGGGUUGUCAUCACAGCUGGAGUCACCCCAUGCCACAAGCAUUUCCUACAGGGACCGUGAAAAGGUUCUCUGGAGCAGAAAUCUAACUCGGUGCCACCACCUUUCUCCUGCAGUUUGUCUACCUACUCUGCUAACCAGCAACCACCACCGUCUCCUUUUCCACUCUGCCGACUCAAUACAACUUGACCCUCAGCGCAGACUGGAAGGCGCCAUCGUCAGCGACCACACUCAACGUGUCAACUAUAAAUGAACAGGGACCAUCCGCCGAACCCUGUGGGCUCGGUGUCUGUGCCACAUCACAGUUGUCUAAUCCACUCGUCUUCACCAUGCAGAUGACUGGAAAGUGGGGAAGGUCCUUCCCGUGCACAAAAUAGCAUCAAGUUUAUCCUUGCAAGGCAUGUGGGAUCAAGAACAACUUUCACCAAGAAAGAGUGCAAGACGAGUGGUUGAACAAAGUAAAGUGGUUUGUUUGUUCUAAAGAACUGGACAACUGAAUUUUUGCACCAAUUUGUGUAUAUUAAAGGCAAUUCAUUCAUAUCACAAAGUGAGCAGUGUUUUA